rnacentral:sRNA from 1 species
ACAGGCCCUAGCAGGGCAGGCGGGAGGUGAGCGCGGCCAUCCCGCUCCCGGAGUUCCGGGAUCCUGGAGGUGGGGGCUGUGCCCUGAGGGAGGGCACAGGGAACUGGGAUGGGGCUGGGGGACAGCGAGUGCUGGGAAGUGUGCGGGAUUUCACUCCGGGGCUCGGGUCGAGCUACCCCGUGCUCCAGGCGGUCCUGCGCCUCCUCUCCCCAAGACCCUUCGGGGACAGAGCACUGCAGACCCGCCGGAGACAACUUGUGCGGGAGCCCGGAGUCCUCGGAAUAACCCUUGGUCUCCUGAUAGCCGUCAGCGCCUCCGUUGAUAAAAUCAUCUCGCAUUUCGGGGCCGCCCGGAACUUGGUGCAGAAGGUGAAGGUGGCUGGGGGGAGGCUGUUGGGAUGAGGGGAGUAAUGGAGCUCCGCGGGGGAUGCGGGAACGGUUGGCGGGAGGUGGCUGGAGGGAUCUCUGGACCCAUCGGCAUCGCGCCACCUCCAGGCCCAGUUGGGUGAUAGCCGGCUGAGCCCGGAUGUGGGGCACCUGGUGUUGACCACCCUCUGCCCGGCCCUCCACGCCCUGGUGGCGGACGGGCUGAAGCCUUUCCGGAAGGACCUCAUCACUGGGCAGCGCAGGAGCAGCCCCUGGAGCGUGGUGGAGGCGUCGGUGAAGCCAGGUGAGCCAGGAGGGCGUGGGACCCGGCAGUGCGCAGGGCAGGGCCGGGCUUGGCUGACUGCACCCCACGUUCUCAGGCUCCAGCACCCGCUCCCUUGGAACCCUGUAUAGCCAGGUCAGCCGUCUAGCCCCGCUGAGCAGCAGCCGUAGCCGCUUCCAUGCCUUUAUCCUGGGCCUCCUGAACACCAAGCAGUUGGAGCUGUGGUUUUCCAGUCUCCAGGAAGAUGCAGGCCUGCUCUCCCUCCUGUACCUGCCAACAGGAUUCUUCUCCCUGGCCCGUGGUGGCUGUCCCUCCCUGUCCACAGAGCUGCUGCUCCUGCUGCAGCCAUUGUCGGUGCUCACUUUCCACCUGGACCUGCUCUUUGAGCACCACCACCACCUGCCCCUGGGCCCGCCUCAGGCCCCUGCCCCUCCAGGCCCGCCUCCGGCUCUGCAGCAGACUAUGCAAGCCAUGCUGCACUUUGGG